rnacentral:rRNA from 1 species
AGAUGACGCGGCGGCUUGCCUUACACUGCAAGUCGAACGGUAACAGGGUGCUGCACCGCUGACGAGUGGCGAACGGGUGAGUAUGCGUCGGAAUGUACCGUGUAAUGGGGGAUAGCUCGGCGAAAGCCGGAUUAAUACCGCAUACGGCCUGAGGGGGAAAGCGGGGGAUCGAAAGACCUCGCGUUAUACGAGCAGCCGACGUCUGAUAGCUAGUUGGUGAGGUAAGAGCUCACCAAGGCGACGAUCAGUAGCGGGUCUGAGAGGAUGAUCCGCCACACUGGGACUGAGACACGGCCCAGACUCCUACGGGAGGCAGCAGUGGGGAAUUUUGGACAAUGGGGGCAACCCUGAUCCAGCCAUGCCGCGUGUCUGAAGAAGGCCUUCGGGUUGUAAAGGACUUUUGUCAGGGAGGAAAUCCCGCUGGUUAAUACCCGGCGGGGAUGACAGUACCUGAAGAAUAAGCACCGGCUAACUACGUGCCAGCAGCCGCGGUAAUACGUAGGGUGCGAGCGUUAAUCGGAAUUACUGGGCGUAAAGCGUGCGCAGGCGGUUGUGCAAGUCUGAUGUGAAAGCCCCGGGCUUAACCUGGGAACGGCAUUGGAGACUGCACAGCUAGAGUGCGUCAGAGGGGGGUAGAAUUCCACGUGUAGCAGUGAAAUGCGUAGAGAUGUGGAGGAAUACCGAUGGCGAAGGCAGCCCCCUGGGAUGACACUGACGCUCAUGCACGAAAGCGUGGGGAGCAAACAGGAUUAGAUACCCUGGUAGUCCACGCCCUAAACGAUGUCAACUAGCUGUUGGGGGUUUGAAUCCUUGGUAGCGUAGCUAACGCGUGAAGUUGACCGCCUGGGGAGUACGGCCGCAAGGUUAAAACUCAAAGGAAUUGACGGGGACCCGCACAAGCGGUGGAUGAUGUGGAUUAAUUCGAUGCAACGCGAAAAACCUUACCUGCUCUUGACAUGUACGGAACUUGCCAGAGAUGGCUUGGUGCCCGAAAGGGAGCCGUAACACAGGU